rnacentral:rRNA from 1 species
AAACCGUUGAAAGGGAAGCGAAUGGAGUUAGCAAUUCGCCCUGUCAGACUCAGCCGCUCGCGGGUAGCGACGCGCGCGUUCUCGAUCCACAUGGACGAGACGCGCGCGGGUGCGACCUGCGGUCGGCGCACUUCUGGCGGGCGAGCGUCAGCGUCGGUCGCGGACGGGCGAGAAGGUCGCGAGGAAGGUGGACCGGUCUCACGGCCGGUUGUUAAGCCUCGCGCUCGCACGGCCCGACGGCGACCGUGGCUCCGAGAGGCGACGCGUGCCUGGCUGGCGACUCGCUCGAUCGGUCCGGCAUGUCGACCGUGGCGGACGGCACGCCUGUGCGCUCGAACCGCUGCCGGUCGAUCGGACGAUGUUCGCACACUACGCGUCGAAGAUGCUGACGACCAUACGGCUCCAUCCGACCCGUCUUGAAACACGGACCAAGGAGUCUAACAUGUGCGCGAGUCUCCGGGCGAUGGAAACCCGUGGGCGCAAUGAAAGUAAAGAUCGUCUCCGACGAUUGAGGUGAGAAGCCGGCGCCACGCGCUCCGGCCGCAUCAUCGACCGACCUGUUCUGCUCUCAGAAAGGUUUGAGUAAGAGCGUAUCUGUUGGGACCCGAAAGAUGGUGAACUAUGCCUGAAUAGGGUGAAGCCAGCGGAAACACUG